GUGCUGUGCGCAAGCGCAGACUCUUUUCCUCAGCUGCCGCCAAGGUGCUCGGUCCUUCCGAGGGAGCUAAGGCUGCGUUGGGGUGAGGUCCUCACUUCAUCCGGCGACUAGCACCGAACCCGGCAGCGCCAGUCCCGCAGUGGCCCGCACCAUGGCCUCCGUCUCUGAGCUCGCCUGCAUCUACUCGGCUCUUAUUCUGCACGACGACGAGGUGACCGUCACG